rnacentral:pre_miRNA from 1 species
UAAAUACUCCCUCCGUCCGGAAAUACUUGUCAUCAAAAUGAACAAAAAGGGAUGUAUCUAGAUGUAUUUUAGUUCUAGUUACAUCCCCUUUUAUUCAUUUUGAUGACAAGUAUUUUCGGACGGAGGGAGUAUAAG